AUCAACGCUGGCGGCGUGCCUCAGACGUGCAAGUCGAACGCGAAAGUUUCCUUCGGGAGACAAGUAGAGUGGCGCACGGGUGAGUAACACGUAGGUAAUCUACCUUCGGAUGGGGAAACAACAAUCGGAAACGGUUGCUAAUACCGCAUAAUGCAGCGGCACCUAAUGGUGACAGUUGUUAAAGCGGGGGAUCGCAAGACCUCGCGUCUGAAGAGGAGCCUGCGGCGGAUUAGCUAGUUGGUAAGGUAACGGCUUACCAAGGCGACGAUCCGUAGCCGGCCUGAGAGGGCGGUCGGCCACACUGACACUGACAUACGGGUCAGACUCCUACGGGAGGCAGCAGUCGGGAAUUUUGGGCAAUGGGCGCAAGCCUGACCAGCAACGCCGCGUGAAGGAUGAAAUCCCUCGGGAUGUAAACUUCGCAAGAACGGGAAGAAUGAGUAGGGGACAAUACCCCCUAUGAUGACGGUACCGUUUGUAAGCUCCGGCUAACUCCGUGCCAGCAGCCGCGGUAAUACGGGGGGGAGCAAGCGUUGUUCGGAAUUACUGGGCGUAAAGGGCGCGUAGGCGGCCAGCACUAAGUCAGACUGUGAAAUCCUCGGCUUAACUCGAGAACUGCGUCAACUGAUACUGGAUGGCUUAGAGUGUGGGAGAGGGAAUGCGGAAUUCUAGGUGUAGCGGUGAAAUGCGUAGAUAUCUAGAGGAACACCGGUGGCGAAGGCGACAUGCUGGACCACGACUGACGCUGAGGAGCGAAAGCCAGGGGAGCGAAACGGGAUUAGAUACCCCGGUAGUCCUGGCCUAAACGAUGAAUGCUUGGUGUGGCGGGUAUCUAGUCCCGGCGUGCCGUAGCUAACGCAUUAAGCAUUCCGCCUGGGGAGUACGGUCGCAAGACUGAAACUCAAAGGAAUUGACGGGGCCCGCACAAGCGGUGGAGCAUGUGGUUAAUUCGACGCAACGCGAAGAACCUUACCCAGGCUUAGAACAGCAUCUGAUCAACCCUAGAGAAGUUGCCUUCCGGCAAGACAGGCAGCGUAGCAAGGUGCUGCAUGGCUGUCGUCAGCUCGUGUCGUGAGAUGUUGGGUUAAGUCCCGCAACGAGCGCAACCCUUUAUCAAUAGUUGCCAGCAGGUUCGGCUGGGCACUCUGCAGACUGCCGUGAUAAACCGGAGGAAGGUGGGGAUGACGUCAAGUCAUCAUGGCCUUUAUGUCCAUGGGCUACACACGUGCUACAAUGGCCGGAUACAAACCGCCGCAAACUCGCAAGAGUGGAGCUAAUCGGAGAAAGUCGGUCUCAGUUCGGAUAGCAGGCUGCAACUCGCCUGCUUGAAGUUGGAAUCGCUAGUAAUCGCGGAUCAGCACGCCGCGGUGAAUACGUUCCCGGGCCUUGUACACACCGCCCGUCACAUCACGAAAGCCGGUUGUACUGGAAGUCGCCAUACCAACCCGCAAGGGAGGGAGGCGCCUAAGGUAUGGUCGGUGAUUGGGGUG
rnacentral:rRNA from 1 species